UACAGAGGGUGCAAACGUUGUUCGGAAUUACUGGGCGUAAAGGGCUCGUAGGCGGCCAACUAAGUCGGAUGUGAAAUCCCCAAGCUUAACUUGGGAACUGCAUCCGAUACUGGAUGGCUUGAAUCCGGGAGAGGGAUGCAGAAUUCCAGGUGUAGCGGUGAAAUGCGUAGAUAUCAGGAGGAACACCAAUUGCGAAGGCAGCUCGCUGGGACGUUACUGACGCUGAGACGCGAAAGCGUGGGGAGCAAACAGG
rnacentral:rRNA from 1 species